CCCUUAGAUGUUCUGGGCCGCACACGCGCUACACUGAAGGAGGCAGCGUGUACUCCUGGAUCGAAAGAGUUGGGUAACCCGCGAAUCUCCUUCGUGCUAGGGAUUGAGGUUUGCAAUUAUCCUUCAUGAACGAGGAAUUCCCAGUAAGUGCAAGUCAUAAGCUUGCGCUGACUACGUCCCUGCCCUUUGUACACACCGCCCGUCGCUACUACCGAUUGAAUGAUUUAGUGAGGACUUCGGACUGGGACCGAUGCGGCUUUCGGGCUGCGUCGGUAUUCUGGAAAGAUGUCCAAACUGUAUCAUUUAGAGGAAGUAAAAGUCGUANCA
rnacentral:rRNA from 1 species